GUGGGCGGACAAAUGGUUGCUGAGUAGGUAGACCUGCCAGGAUCUAGCUUUGUAGCAGCUAGCAGAAUCUUGCCCUAGAUUAGUAAACUGCCACACACUUUUGGGGGUGUUUCUUUAUGCAAUAGUAAGUGUGAACAUGCUGCCAGGAGCUUGAUGGUCAUAUAUGAUACUGAAGAAGAAU